GAUGAACGCUGGCGGCGUGCUUAACACAUGCAAGUCGAACGAUGAAGCCCAGCUUGCUGGGUGGAUUAGUGGCGAACGGGUGAGUAACACGUGAGUAACCUGCCCUUAACUCUGGGAUAAGCCUGGGAAACUGGGUCUAAUACCGGAUAGGAGCGUCCACCGCAUGGUGGGUGUUGGAAAGAUUUAUCGGUUUUGGAUGGACUCGCGGCCUAUCAGCUUGUUGGUGAGGUAAUGGCUCACCAAGGCGACGACGGGUAGCCGGCCUGAGAGAGUGACCGGCCACACUGGGACUGAGACACGGCCCAGACUCCUACGGGAGGCAGCAGUGGGGAAUAUUGCACAAUGGGCGCAAGCCUGAUGCAGCGACGCCGCGUGAGGGAUGACGGCCUUCGGGUUGUAAACCUCUUUCAGUAGGGAAGAAGCGAAAGUGACGGUACCUGCAGAAGAAGCACCGGCUAACUACGUG
rnacentral:rRNA from 1 species